CAAGAAACUCCUUUACGAGAAGAUGAAGGGAGGAGAGAGACGAAAGCGGAGGAGUGUCAAUCCAUAUCUACAAGGACAGAGACUGGAUAAUGUUGUUGCAAAGAAGUCUGUCCCCCAUUUUUCAGAUGAGGAUAAGGAUCCAGAGUAAAGAGAAGAUGCUAGACGAAAACCCACAUUACCUGUUAGGCCUCAGCAUGGCUUAUGUGCACGUGUAAAUGGAGUCCCUGUGAAUGACAGCAUGUUUCUUACAUAGAUAAUUAUGGAUACAAAGCAGCUGUAUGUAGAUAGUGUAUUGUCUUCACACCGAUGAUUCUGCUUUUUGCUAAAUUAGAAUAAGAGCUUUUUUGUUUCUUGGGUUUUUAAAAUGUGAAUCUGCAAUGAUCAUAAAAAUUAAAAUGUGAAUGUCAACAAUAAAAAGCAAGACUAUGAAAGGCUCAGAUUUCUUGCAGUUUAAAAUGGUGUCUGAGGUUGUACUAUUUUGGCCAAGUCUGUAGAAAGCUGUCAUUUGAUUUUGAUUAUGUAGUUCAUCCAGCCCUUGGGCAUUGUUAUACACCAGUAAAGAAGGCUGUACUCAAGAGGAGGAGCUGACACAUUUCACUUGGCUGCGUCUUAAUAAACAUGAAUGCAAGC
rnacentral:lncRNA from 1 species